GUGAAGGGCUUCUGUCGUGAGUGGCACACGUAGGGCAGCUCCAUUGCUCUUCGUGCGGAAUCGACAUCAAGAGAUUUCAGAAGCAUAAUUUUUUGGUAGCUGGGCAGCUGGUGAUCGUUGGUCCUGGCGCCCCU
rnacentral:snRNA from 1 species